rnacentral:rRNA from 1 species
UACGUAGGGGGCUAGCGUUGUCCGGAUUUAUUGGGCGUAAAGAGCGUGUAGGCGGCCUGGUAGGUCUGCUGUGAAAACUCGAGGCUCAACCUCGAGAUGUCGGCGGAAACCAUCUGGCUAGAGUCCGGAAGAGGAGAGUGGAAUUCCUGGUGUAGCGGUGAAAUGCGCAGAUAUCAGGAGGAACACCAAUUGCGAAGGCAGCUCGCUGGAACGUAACUGACGCUGAGACGCGAAAGCGUGGGGAGCAAACAGG